rnacentral:rRNA from 1 species
ACUAACAAGGAAAAAAUAAAUGUGUUAUCACGAAGGAAUGUGAGCUAAACGCACAUAUGGUCUAUUUGCAUGCGUCGCAUAGCACGUAAUAAAUGUACGUUUAGGGGUGAUAGGCUUUUCAAACGUUCCUAUAACUUGUUUCAUAUGAAAAGUAUUAAGUACCUAAACAAAUUUAAAAAGUUAAGCUUUUAAAUAACUAUUAAAGAUAUUAUCCCCUUGUAGUGUAGUUUAAUAGCUAUCUACAUAAUAACUUAAUAUAAAGUAUAAUAGUUUAUAUUUUAUAAUAUGACGUUAACAAUUUUGUUUAAUAUUUGAAAAUGUUAGUAUUAGUAAUAUUAGUAUAUGUGCUAAAGGAACUCGGCAAAAAACCACUCAACUGUUUAUCAAAAACAUAGCUAUAUGAAUUAAUAUAUAGUUAUUUCUGCUCAAUGAUUUAAAUAGCCGCAGUACUCUGACUGUGCAAAGGUAGCAUAAUCAGUUGGCUUUUAAUUAGAGUCUGGUAUGAACGAAAAUAUGGGUAGUAACUGUCUUAGCACAUUUUUCGAACUUAUUAAACAAGUGCAAAUGCUUGUAAUUUAACAAUAGACGAGAAGACCCUAGAAACUUGGACAAGUUUUUGUUGGGGCGACAGAAUUACACUUAACUAAUCUUAUAAUACACGACGCGAUGUUGAAAGAAUAAGUUACUCUAGGGAUAACAGCAUAAUUUCAUUAGUUUGUGACCUCGAUGUUGGACUAGGUACUAUACCCUUAAGGCAAGGAUAUAUUAUGCUCUGUUCGAGCAAAAUUACCUACAUGAUCUGAGUUCAGACCGG